rnacentral:rRNA from 1 species
GACGAACGCUGGCGGCGUGCUUAACACACGCAAGUCGAACGGAAAGGCCCUGCUUUUGUGGGGUGCUCGAGUGGCGAACGGGUGAGUAACACGUGAGUAACCUGCCCUUGACUUUGGGAUAACUUCAGGAAACUGGGGCUAAUACCGGAUAGGAGCUCCUGCUGCAUGGUGGGGGUGGGAAAGUUUCGGCGGUUGGGGAUGGACUCGCGGCUUAUCAGCUUGUUGGUGGGGUAGUGGCUUACCAAGGCUUUGACGGGUAGCCGGCCUGAGAGGGUGACCGGCCACAUUGGGACUGAGAUACGGCCCAGACUCCUACGGGAGGCAGCAGUGGGGAAUAUUGCACAAUGGGCGGAAGCCUGAUGCAGCAACGCCGCGUGCGGGAUGACGGCCUUCGGGUUGUAAACCGCUUUCGCCUGUGACGAAGCGUGAGUGACGGUAAUGGGUAAAGAAGCACCGGCUAACUACGUG